GGGUGGAGGUCCGGGUCCCGCGCACCAGCUCCAGCCCCUCGGAGGUGGUACCACCUUCCUCCGCGCAGAAGGGCGCGGGUUCCGGUAGCUAUCGGAGCAUCUGUGCGCGAGCAGCGCCCACCCGGGACACGGGGUCUAUUUAGUCAGCGCCGGGUGCCCAGACUCCUUUGGGGCCCGCGGUAAUGGCUGAAGUUAUUUUCGGUGGCUAUGGAAACAUAGGAAGGUGGCUUCAGGUGGUAAAGCUAAGUAGAACCUGAAGCCGGUAGACCCAGUGGCCGGACGCCAGGCAGAGGGUCCAGGGCUGCGGUUAAUCAGAGUCCUCCAAGCUCCCAGGCCCCGGAGGCCGCUGCUGGGGACCCUCCUUCCCGACGCUGCGUUCCUAGAGGACUCUUACCUUAAUAGGCAAGAACUGGGAGAGGGCGCACCAGGCGGCGGCCCUGAGCCCUGCCUGACACUACUCUCCACCGGGCCCAGCCCAGCCCGCCUGGUCAGCGAAGGGGAGUCAGACUUCCCACAUCCUGCUGGGUUUGACAGACUGGGGGCCUUGAAAGGACUCCAGAUUCUCAGGAUCUACAUUGAGAUGUGUAUAUGAGGAGGAAGGGAAACUGUGUGCCAGGGUGACCUGCCACCCACUGUCAUCCUUUUGAAAACACACGAACAAGCUCUUCUUGAACAGGGUGGAACUUUACAGCUUUCCCCUUUCUUCUUGAACACAUAUUUUCAGUUUUUGCAGUUCUUUGUGUACUCUAGUACUCUAUGCUGAUGGCCAUGUCAGAGGAGCAGCAGAUGCUACUGAAGUUCAGCUGUCAGCGCACCAGAGGCAACUCCCUGAUGCCCGAUAGGCAAGGCCCCGAGACCACAGACUCCAGAAUGUCCUUUGCUUCUGCUGUGCCUUCACAUGUUUACUAUUGCCAACUUUCUCUGGUCUCUGGUGUGGUGUGAAUGGGUGUGGGGAGAUCCCUGCUGCCUGUAAUUUAGUGUGUUUAUCUCAUGGAAACAUCCCUUUCUACUGGGCACUUUACCUGUGGAUUAUUAUAAAGAUAAUUUUCCCUCUAAGCUGUACUGUCUAAUUGAUAAUAAUAAUGUUAGUUUAAAUAGAGUUUUGAUAACAAAAAAAUAAAACAAGGAAGUGUCACACAGCUAGAACACAUGAGUUUCUAUUGAAGAGCAAUAUAGACUGUAGCUUAGAUUAAUGAUUAAGAAAAACAACUGAGUCCCAGUAGCCCAGCUAGUUUAAAUUCUUCUAACCUUAAUGUUGAGAGAUGUGUUCACAGGUUUCGAAGUGCAUCACAGCUGAAACAAAGCUUUGAAAAUAACUUAAAGUUAGACUAAGAUGUUUUUGUCAAAUAGCUUUGAGGUGAAAACCCCAAAAAGAUAAUCUAAAGUUGUAGAAAGACACAUAGUUGAAUGAGGAACUCGGGAUGAAUAAGGCCAGGGAUCAAAUACAAAGCAGCCCAAUUAUUACUAACUGACAUACUUUCCUUGCUAGGAUUGGUUGGUGAUCAAAGAUGAUGAUUAAUUCCUUGUACUCAUUUUUGCCUUCAACCUCCUGAUAUAAAAAACUAUUGAUGAGUAGGUAUGUACUCUAGAGAUUUAAAGUAGAGCUGACUGAUUCUUUUUCAUGUAUAAAAGUUUAUAUUUAUGAUUCCUUUAAGAUUCCUCAUAAAAUUACCUUUCAAGAUAAGUAAUAAUGUGAUUGUUCUUUUCUUUGUAACCACAAAAUGCAGCCUGCCAGUAAAAGAAUAUCUUUCUUGCUUACACAUUGUUAAUCUAUAACAAGUUGCUUGAGUAUGAAUGUACACUGGUUCUUGGGAUAACUUGUUUUUCACCUGUAAUAUGUAAAAUGUUUAAUCAUGUAAGGGAUAUGGAAAACAUGCUGUUUUUUUUUACUUGUAUUCAUUGUAAUCAUUCACUUGAAAAACAGAAUGUAACCACAUUGUAAUUUUUAUAUUGCCUGAAAGAUUUUGUUGGGGUAUAUAAAUUGUAAGGGAAAGAAUACAGAUGGAGUUAGAGUUAGAAGGAAAACAUCAAGAAUGAGAGAAGGAAAUUACUAGGAAAAUAAAGAAUAGAGAAUGCAAAAGAAGAAUAAAGAAAAGAUCUGAAGGAAACAUUAAGAGAGUGUGUGAGUCUUUCCCUUCACUCCCCCAGAUUUAAAAAAAAAAGUCACAGUGAGCACUGACUCUGUGGAUUCCCUU